CGCUCGGCGGCCAUGCGCUCGCGGGGGUUUUUAUUUCUCGGUUUAAAAACUGCCCUUUGGGUAAAUGCAGCAUGGCCAGCUCCUGGAAGGGAGACUUCUGCAUUUCUCGACUGAAAACAGUUCGUAAUUGACUGCUAAAAGUUGGGUGGUGAUGAUGAUGAAGGAAAGCCAAAUAUAGGCGGAGUAGACUGUUGGUGCUGAGAUUUUUCUCUUUCUGGGUAGACGCGCUUUACCCCAUACUGUAGAAUAAUCUUUGAAGAGUAUUGCAGUAAUGCUUGUUUUUUUUCUUCCCUGGCAGAAUGGUGUCUUGAAGUAAAGAAGUUUGGUAUUUCCAGAGAAAUGUGAUCCCUUUAGUACAGGGAGCAGGCAGGUCCCUGAAAAUCGCACCAAUGUGAAGGUGUUCCUACUGAAAACUUGCUUGUCUGAGGAAGAAGAAAUCCACUAAAAUACUCAAGGGAGCAGGGAAGCAGUCGUCAUAAACUCUACCUGUUUUCCUGUCCUAAGACUUUAAGAAAUACUAAAAAUUACACUGCUGUGCAUAUAUUAAAGUUAUCAAAACAAUUUA